AGAUAACGGACAAGCCUUCUCACUAUGGGAAAGAGUAAGUUUACAAAAUUCGAUAGACUUGUUCUCUCACUCUCUCUGUCUAAAUAUUAAAUACAUUGGCAUUCUUCCAGUGUUCAAUAUAACAGUUGGCCACCGGUGCAUCGGCCACUCUCCGAACAAAACGCCAGUUAUAUUAUAUUGAAUUUAUUAUAUUAUAUUACAUUAUAUUUAAGCCUGGUUUUGUCAUUGAUUCUCUUUUCCUGACAGAUGCAAAUAAACGAACUCGCAUACAAAAGUAUACUAGAUGCAUGUGUAAUAUAAUCGCUUUUCAGUAGUAAACAUUUCCAAGGCUUUUUGCAUAUAAUCACAUCAGCCAACAAAGUUGCUAGUGCUAACCAGGCUUAAAUUAACUUAAUUGCAAUGCAAUUAAUGUACUGUACAACUUUUCUAUUUUUGAGUCCUGUACAUAAUUAGUGUCUGAUCAUGAUCGACCAAAACUUGGACUGGUCAUGAGACAUGGCUCUGCAAGCUAAGCUAUAUAGAUUAGGUAUACCCCUACUCCCCUGCAUGCCCUAAAAUAGCAGCACCCGAAAACUACUAGAUCCGAAACUAUCGUAAUUAUAUCUAUUUCUAUGUAGAUUCCAUGGAUUAAUAUCACGAGAACAGGCAGACCAACUAGUAUCUGCUCAGAGUGGAAGUUAUUUAGUGCGUGAAAGUCAAAAAAGUCCUGGCUCAUACGCAUUAUCCAUGAGGUAUAAAUUAAAGUAACUAAUCCCUGGGGAGGUGAUGAAUUAUUGGGGUUGAUUUUGUUAAUUGUUUUCGUGGUGAAUUCGAUCACUAAUCGAUUCCGUUUACCCUCGACUAGUUUCGUGCGAAAACAUGCUUUAGAUAAAGCACUUUUUUAGCUCGCCUACAC